rnacentral:rRNA from 1 species
ACUCAAAGGAAUUGACGGGGACCCGCACAAGCGGUGGAACAUGUGGUUUAAUUCGACGGUAAGCGAGGAACCUCACCAAGGCUUGACAUGCAACUGCAAAUCCCAUGAAAGUGGGACUCCUUCGAGGGUGUUGCACAGGUGCUGCAUGGUUGUCGUCAGCUCGUGCCGUGAGGUGUACCCUUAAGUGGGGUAACGAGCGCAACCCCUAUGUCGUGUUGUUUUUCACGACAGACUGCCUCGGAUAACGGGGAGGAAGGCGGGGAUGACGUCAAAUCAGCAUGGCUCUUACGCCUUGGGCGACACACGUGUUACAAUGGACGGUACAGAGGGUUGCCAAAUCGAAAGAUGGAGCUAAUCCCAUCAAAACCGUUCUCAGUUCGGAUUGAGGUCUGCAACUCGACCUCAUGAAGCUGGAAUCGCUAGUAAACGCGCAUCAGCCACGGCGCGUUGAAUACGUUCUCGGGUCUUGUACACACCGCCCGU